UACGGAGGGUGCAAGCGUUAAUCGGAAUUAUUGGGCGUAAAGAGCUCGUAGGCGGUCUGUCACGUCGGCUGUGAAAUCCCGAGGCUCAACCUCGGGUCUGCAGUCGAUACGGGCAAACUAGAGUAUUGCAGGGGAGACUGGAAUUCCUGGUGUAGCGGUGAAAUGCGCAGAUAUCAGGAGGAACACCGGUGGCGAAGGCAGUUCUCUGGGCCGUUACUGACGCUGAGGAGCGAAAGCGUGGGGAGCGAACAGG
rnacentral:rRNA from 1 species